CAUCAUACUGAAGGUAUUCUAUUUUGCUAGAGGAUAUUUUGUCUAUGUUUAGAUAAUGUCGGGCUUACAUGUUUUUGUUGCUUAUUAAUUUCCAUGCGGCCCAUUGGUCUCAUUUGAUUUUUGUCGCUUUUUAGUUUCUAUGCAGCCCAUGACUGGUACGCCUAUGAGCGUUAUGUUGAUGAGGGCAUGGGUGUGGAUGUUUCUGGUACAGUUUUGUCAGUCCAACAGUAUCGACUUAAAAAUGAAGUGCUGGUUAAAGUAUCAUCCAGGAUCUCUCGCCAGAAUAAGUCCUAUGAACUGAUUGGGGAGGCAAUUAGGGCAACCUCCACUUAUUGGUUCGCUACUGAUGCAACACGGUUGUUUAUCUCUUCUCUGAUACACAGAGCGCAGGGAAUUCUGGAUCAAGAUAAGUGCUUAGACAACUUUGAUGCUAAUAAUGUCGUCGUGACAAAUAAAGGAGAGGCCAAGUUCUGACAUGUGAAAAUCAUUGAAAAGACUUAUCAAGCUCGAAGACAAAUGUAUACUUGCAUUGUUAAUGUCAUCAGAGGUUAUUUUGAUGGGUAUCAAAUUCCUGAAGAUAUGCAGGAUUUGAUUAAUUUGAUGAGUACACAACAAAAAGAUCUUCUCUACCAAAUAAGCCCAGCACUCUUACUUCGCCAUCAAAGAUCAGAUCGAUAUACUCGACUCUAUGAGUAUGUCAAAUACAAAGUGGGCACUUUUCAGAAGGAGCUCAUACUCGAGAAGUUGCUUCAAUUGCCAUGGGUGCUCCAAUGGAAGAGCAAGGUGCCGCAGAACAAUGUACUUAAGGAAACUUUUGACUUCAUUCCGGGUAGCUAUGACCUGAAGCGCCCGACGGAUGAGCAUAAUAAUCCAACAACUCCGUGGACUGAACGCGAACAGAAGCUUAAGCUGGUGGAGUUAUUGCUUGAUUUUGUGAGAAAUGGAACUGCACACCGAUCCCAAAGGAAAACCAAAGUCGAUCCAGAUCAGUUUGAAACCAUCAUUAUGGUUUUUUACCUCAUGCUACUUCCCAAGUUGCAAGAAGCUGUUUAUGAUGUGGCAGGAAAGCCUGCUCUUGUAUAUUUGGGAUUGGCCUAGCCUUAAGGUAUGUAUCUGAACUAAAAUAUAAGCAUUGAAGUUAAGAAAUUCUAAUGCUUGCCAUUCUUAAUGAAUGAGUGUUAAGGACUAACACAUCUGUCACUGUAUAACAGCAAUUCUUGUAUUAAUGAAAUGAUGUCUUUUCAAUACAAUAUUUAUACCUUUACCAGUUUACCUAGAGAGUGUAAUCUGGAAUAUACUUGUUCUUUCUGAAGUCCUGUAAAUAAUAUAUGUAUAGUUAGAGGCAUACGGUUUGGCAUUACAAUUGAUCUGAGAUCUGUAGUUAUUCAGUGUAUUUGGUACUCACCUGUGACGGUGAUGAAGUUAACUAGUAAGGUAACUAAGCAUCAUUAUGCAGCGGUCUGUUUGUAUGCGGAAUCACGUUUGUAAAAUUAGUCCUACACAAACAGAUGCACUAGACCCUGCAUGCAGAUUUCACUGAAAACUGUGUAGCAACUACUAUCCGGUCCUGGGUUUGGCACAACAUUUUGUCCAUAGAUUUAGAAGUCUCUACUUGCCACCAUGCCAGAAUGAAGUAUGCAAUUGGUAAGCUAUCACUGAGUUGUGACCGUCAUGAUCAAGUAGGCCUUCCCUUCAGUCAACCUAUUCAAACACAGUAUUGCUUAUUUUUGAAUUAAAUUGCCUUUCACCUGGAGCCAAUCUAGUUAUCUUGUUGAGCUCUUGAAGCUAUUGCUUUUGGUUCAGCUCUUGAAGGUUAAAUAUAGACCUUAAGGAUGUUUCUAACUCAAGAAUUGUCUCAAGGAAAAUGUCUUUGAACCUACAUAUCGUUUUCAUUUGUACACAACCUGAAAAUGCUCUUUGAAGUCUUUGUAAAAUAUUUAUUUCAGUGCCAUCAAACCUGGUCUUCUGCAAUUCAUGAAUGCAAGAAUCCGAAACUUGAGAUUCAAAAGAGAAAAUAAGAACAUUUAGGACAAUGAAGUAUUUGUUUGAAGUAUCUUGAUCUGGCCAAAAGAAGUAGAGUAGUGGAAGUUGGCAACUUUGUGAUAGCAAUAUGGACUUUGAUAUUUCCAGUGAGCUCACCUCUUGGAUGUGGGUUCUCCUAAUACCAGGGGCAACAUAAGGAGUCUUGCUUUUAUUUUUCCACCUGGCAACAAACAAAAUAUUUGUCUCAAUGUGAGAAGAUACCUGAGUUCACUCUAGAUUUCUGCGCUUCUAGCUUCUGCAGUUAUUCUGGUCUGGAUGUCUUCUAUCUAAAAUGAUUUCUGAGCUUAAUCCAAUACUGUUGGAUUAUAGAAAGGCUGUUGGUACUGAUCAGUCAUAAUCAAUCAAGGGCCUUGUCUGGAAGCUUCGUGUUGGCUAAUGACAUACAGAAAACCUAAUCCGUUGUAAGAGAUACUGAAGUUUAAAAGCUGCAUUUUCUGGAUAUACAUGAAAGUAAUACAAAUGAUGUGUGGAAUCUGUUGUAGUGUCCUGAUUCCUGUAUAUGGCUUAAAACAUUUUCCUUUUUCUCGUCAAAGUCAUGGGGAGGCACGUGGAUUAGUAGAACUAGACUGCGCUCUGCUGCGGGAAAUGGUUGAUAUAAUUUUUGGUUGAUAACAUGAGAGCCAAAAUAAAUAAUACAUAUGACCUAUAAUAUUUGAUUAUGUAUAGUUGAGAAAAUAUUUUCCCAUGCAUGGUUGAAUGUUGUGGUGUUCUUUUCCCAUGCAUGAUUGCAUGUUGUGGUGGGGCUUAUUCCACUAAUAAUUGUAUGGUAUAGCGAGGUGGCGUGCUUGCAUGUUGAGAUAAGUAAGUUAGUGGGGAUGACUCUUAGGUAUAUAGGUUUUGUUUUGAGUGCAACUGCUGGUGUGCGGAGUUGGUUUCUGUUGAUGCAUGAAAUUUGUGAUUCUUAUUUCUCCAAUGCAACAAUGAACAUUUAUUAUUUAUUCAGUGGAUUUUGCCCAGAAUACAAAUUUACAACCUUUUCCUAUUCCUACAUGAUAAAUCUAAAACACCAUUUAGGCACAUAGGCGUGGGGCGAGGUAUUGAUACUAAGCAGUAAAUUGCGCCUGCAUUUGCUCAGAUUCGUAAAUAGGAUGCAAUGAAAUAUCUUCAUGCUACAUAAUUUUCAAAUGCAUGGGGUUUCUGAUGUGAAAAAUUUGCAUAUUUCUAUGUUUCAGAGGCUACCAUUUACAGUCGGUUCAUGUUGCUACAGUUUAUGUCCCUAUGGUGCUUCACGAAUCACGACUAUUUUCUGCCGGUGAUAUUCUUGAUCCUUCAGGUGUGUCCCUUUCCCCCCCCUUGACUUGUCUUCAUUCUAGCACCAUUUCAUUUUUCUCCACAUCUAUAACAAGCUUAAUCAGGACUAUGAUUUAAUGACCAGUACUAUAAUGUUUUCUCCCCUUGUGUAUUCAGGGGCAUAAUGAUUUCCUUAUCCAUAAUCUAGGAUGCUUUUCUAACUCUGGGAACAACUCAGUGUGCCCUUGCUCUGGAUAUAGUUUGUGGCGCACUGAAGCCUCCUGUUUAAGAACUGACCCUCUUGCUUUUGUUCCAGGUCCUCGCUCUUGCUUACUACACUACAUCCUACUUCCCUGGAGGCUCUAGUGGAUUAAAAUUUUUCUCUUCAAUUCUCCUGUCUACAGUACCAGAUGUCAUGACCCCAUCGUUUUGCUAGUACCAUCUACAAAUGUUAGGCACAUACGUUGGGAAUGGACUGAAGAAGGUUUGUUGAGCUAUUUGGUAGCACAUUUGUGGGAAUAAAGUUACUGCUAGCGAUUUAUGCGGCCAAAGUUAUGGCUAAAGCGGCUGUUGCUUUUUGGGAUAUGGUACUAGGCACACCAGCUAAAAAAUAUAAGAAAAACCAAACAAUACCGAAACUUUGUUGUGGUGAAAAUGGUGAGUUGAAGUUUCUGUGAAGAAAUGGCUUCCAUGGUCUUGGCGGAGAAAGUAAAAUUGCAACUUCAAAAACUUCAUUUUUUUACAUGGAACUGAUUUCAUUCUUUUAGUGCAUAGAAGACCAUGGAAGUCAUUUCUUUGUGAAACUUUACACGUCAAUAUAACAUAGACCAUGUUUGUUAUAAAGUAGUUUCAGAACUGUUUGAUCUUUUCCACAUUUUCAAAUUAUAUAUUUUCAGUGUGGUGCCCCUAGACCAAGUUCCAUAGGGUAUUUUUUUCCUUUUUUUUUCCUUUUGUUUUGCAAGAAGUGGCUGUAGAUAUUUUGGGGAAAAGUCGAUUGUGCAGUUGUAGGGAUUGAGUGUGAACUUUGUCCUGUAUCACGGUAUCACCUAGCCUCGGAAGCAUGUGAUAUUUCCCCCUUCAUCUAAACUAGGUGUCAAGUUUGCGUAGCCGUGUAAUUUGUUUUUGUGACGAAGAGAGGUCUACUGAAUACGAAUAAUGUUGUUACAAUCAGUUCGAAGAAGCUCUAAAACAGAAGAACGGCCGACAAGGCGUACUGUCUCUAUAACUUUAAUGUAAGAUGUUUUUGCCGUUCUAAUUACAUUAAGGAGGUAUCACCGACAUUGUAACGUAAUCUGAUUACAGCGGGAUCAGUUGCCGUCAAAUCGUCUUUGUUUCACCACGGCUGUAAUCAGAUUACGCCCCAAAUCAGCUGUAUCGGG
rnacentral:lncRNA from 1 species